rnacentral:rRNA from 1 species
ACGAAGUGAGUGGCGAACGGGUGAGUAACACGUGGGUAACCUGCCCAGAAGUAGGGGAUAACACCUGGAAACAGAUGCUAAUACCGUAUAACAGAGAAAACCGCAUGGUUUUCUUUUAAAAGAUGGCUCUGCUAUCACUUCUGGAUGGACCCGCGGCGUAUUAGCUAGUUGGUGAGGUAAAGGCUCACCAAGGCAGUGAUACGUAGCCGACCUGAGAGGGUAAUCGGCCACAUUGGGACUGAGACACGGCCCAGACUCCUACGGGAGGCAGCAGUAGGGAAUCUUCCACAAUGGACGCAAGUCUGAUGGAGCAACGCCGCGUGAGUGAAGAAGGGUUUCGGCUCGUAAAGCUCUGUUGUUAAAGAAGAACGUGGGUAAGAGUAACUGUUUACCCAGUGACGGUAUUUAACCAGAAAGCCACGGCUAACUACGUGCCAGCAGCCGCGGUAAUACGUAGGUGGCAAGCGUUAUCCGGAUUUAUUGGGCGUAAAGCGAGCGCAGGCGG